rnacentral:tRNA from 1 species
AUUUUGGAUAGUUUAAUUUAGAACGUAAUUUUGAAGAAAUUAGAGUAGGAGUUACUUUCAGAA